CCUGUAGCGGGCCGUGUUGUUUGUUGGGCUGGGGGCUCUUUGUCGGAGAGCAGUUUUUGGAGAGGAGGGGGCGGCGUUCAUUUUCCCCACUUUGUCUCCAGAAGCACUCACUUCGGCUGUUCCCCAUUCCUCUUCUGUUGUUCCCCAUUUUGCUCUUGGCAGUUGGUGCUCGAGGCGCAACGAUUUCUGGAGAGGGAAAAGGAGAGGGAGACACUACCGAUACUCCGCAACCAGGAUGUUGUGCCCAGUUUGCUUCGCUCAUUGUGGAAUGGACAAUGGCACAAGCUUCGGCAUGUUUUUCGUGGAUGUGAAUGAAAGCUUCGCGCUCCUGCCAUGCUCUGUGACAGAGAGGUUCCCCAAGCACUUUGUUGGUGGUUUUCUGAACUUCCGAGCUCAUGGCCACCGAUACGUUGUUAAUGUGUACACUGGGUACAACAACACCAAACGUAUCAGCAGCAAGGACUUGAGGAAGUUCAUGAUGGACUUUAAUCUGGGCCAUGGGAAGCUUGUUGUGUUUGUCAUCACUAGGCGUAUUGCAAACGCAUAUGUCUGCUCCUUUUGGCGCUGGUUUAUUUGUUGGAGGUGGAGCUGAAGCAGCACAUCAUGAGGAAGAGCAAGGAGGUGGUGAUGAAGAGCAAGCACAUGAAGGUGAUGUUGGACAGGUGGAUGAGGAGGGGAACAACGGACGGGAUCUGGGAGAAGCCCCUGUAGGCAUCAUAUACAGCAGGGAUGUCAAUUUGGUUGUGGAGGAGGCAAAUCGUCUUGGUAUGAUCAUCGCCAUUGAUGAGGCGCACAUUGGUUCACGUUUUGUUCAUCGACUUGCAAGUGGACCUUCAACUUGAAACUGUGUCUUUCUUUCUUUUGAUGCCAUUUGCAAGUGGACCCUCGACUUGCAACUGGGUCUUAUGUUUUUUCAUGCCACUUGCAAGCGGACCCUCGACUUGCAGCUGGGUCUUCUAUGUUUUAUGCCACUGGCAAGUGGACAAUCGACUUUCAAUUGGGUCUUUUUUUCAUGCCACUUGCAAGUGGACCCUCGACUUGCAACUGGGUCUUCUAUUUUUUUCAUGCCACUUGCAAGUGGACCCUCGACUUGCAACUGGGGUCUUCUGUGUUUGAUGUCACUUGCAAGCGGAUCCUCGACUUGCAACUAGGUCUUCUAGCUUUUCAUGCCACUUGCAAGCGGACCCUCGACUUGCAACCGGGGUUUUGUUUGUUUGAUGCCACUUGCAAGUCGACCCUCGACACGCAACCGUGUCUUUUUUUAUGCCACUUGCAAGUCAACCCUUGACUUGCAACUCAUUCUUUUUUGUUUUCUGUGCCACUUUGCAAGUCGAUGCCUCGACUUGUAAUUGGGUCUUCUAUUUUUUCAUGCCAUUUUUGCAAGUGGAUCCUCGACCUGCAACUGCGUAUUUCUUUGUUUUUGAUGCCACUUGCAAGUGGAUCCUCGACUUGCAACUGGGUCUUCUUUUUUUCAUGUCACUUGCAAGUGGACCCUCGACUUGCAAUUGGGUCUUCUAUUUUUUUUAUGCCACUUGCAAGUGGACCCUCGACUUGCAACUGGGUCUUCUAUUUUUUUUCAUAUCACUGUCAUGUUAAGAUUUUUCUCUUAUCUCUCUUCAUCUGAGUAUGAUCAUGCCAUUUUUCGAGUUUCAAGUGGGCCCUCGACUUGCAACUUGGUCUUCUAUUUUCAUGCCAAGUGCAAGUGGACCCUGGACUUGCAACCGGAUCUUUUUUUAAUUUUUCAUGCAACUUGUAAGUGGACCCUCGACCUGCAACUACCACUUGCAAGUGGACCUUCAACUUGAAACUUUUUCUUUCUUUUUUUUGAUGCCACUUGCAAGUGGACCUUCAACUUGAAAAUGUGUCUUUCUUUUUUUAUGCCACUUGCAAGUGGACCCUAGACUUGCAACCGGGUCUUAUAUUCUUUCAUGCCAGUUGCAAGUGGACCCUCGACUUGCAACUAGGUCUUCUGUGUUUGAUGCCCCUGUAGGCAUCAUAUACAGAAGGGAUGUCAAUUUGGUUGUGGAGGAGGCAAAUCGUCUUGGUAUGAUCAUCGCCAUUGAUGAGGCGCACAUUGGUUCACGUUUUGUUCAUCGACUUGCAAGUGGACCUUCAACUUGAAACUGUGUCUUUUUUCGUUUGAUGCCAUUUGCAUGUGGACCCUCGACUUGCAACUGGGUCUUAUUUUUUUUCAUGCCACUUGCAAGCGGACCCUCGACUUGCAACUGGGUCUUCUGUGUUUAAUGCCACUUGCAAGUGGACAGUCGACUUGCAACUGGGUCUUUUUUUUCAUGCCACUUGCAAGUGGACCCUCAACUUGCAACUGGGGUCUUCUGUGUUUGAUGUCACUUGCAAGCAGACCCUCGACUUGCAACUAGGUCCUCUAGUUUUUCAUGCCACUUGCAAGCGGACCCUCGACUUGCAACUGGGGUUUUGUUUGUUUGAUGCCACUUGUAAGUCGACCCUCGACCCGCAACUGCGUCUUUCUUUUUUUGAUGCCACUUGCAAAUCGACCCUUGACUUGCAAUUGGUUAUUUUUUGUUUUUUUGUGCCACUUUGCAAGUCGACCCCUCGACUUGUAAUUGGGUCUUCUAUUUUUUUCAUGCCAUUUUUGCAAGUAGACCCUCGGCUUGCAACUGUGUCUUUCUUUUUUUGAUGCCACUUGCAAGCGGACCCUCGACUUGCAACUGGGUCUUCUGUGUUUGAUGCCACUUGUAAGUGGACAAUCGACUUGCAACUGGGUCUUUUUUCAUGCCACUUGUAAGUGGACCCUCGACUUGCAACUGGGUCUUCUAUUUUUGUCAUGACACUUACAAGUGGACCCUUGACUUGCAACUGGGGUCUUCUGUGUUUGAUGUCACUUGCAAGCGGACCCUCGACUUGCAACCGGGUUUUGUUUGUUUGAUGCCUCUUGCAAGUCAGCCCUGGACCCGCAACUGUGUCUUUCUUUUUUGAUGCCACUUGCAAGUCGACCCUUGACUGCAACUGGUUCUUUUUUGUUUUUUGUGCCCCUUCGCAAGUCGACCCCUCAACUUGUAAUUGAGUCUUCUGUCUUUUUCAUGCCAUUUUUGUAAGUGGACCCUUGACCCGCCACUGUGUCUUUUUUAUGCCACUUGCAAGUAGACCCUCGACUUGCAACUGGGUCUUUUUUUUCAUGCCACUUGCAAGUGGAUCCUCGACUUGCAACCCGGUAUUCUAUUUUUUGAUGCCACUUGCAAGUGGACCCUCGACUUGCAACUAGGUCUUCUAUUUUUUUUAUAUCACUGUCCCGUUAAGAUUUUUCUCUUAUCUCUCUUCAUCUAUGUAUGAUCAUGCCAUUUUUCGAGUUUCAAGUCGACAAUCCACUUGCAACUGGAUCUUCUGUUUUCAUGCCAAGUGCAAGUGGACCCUCGACUUGCAACCUGGUCUUUUUUUUCUCUGAAAGUACUUUUGAAAGCCCUUUUUCCCUCUAAAAUAACUAUAACAAGUUCCUUCUUUUUAGCUUUACAAAGUUCUUUCAGAAUACUGUACGUACUCUUAUAAUUUUUUUCAGUUAUCGCACAUUUGUAAGCACAACAUAUAUGAAACAAAGAUAUCUGGCAAUGGAAAUGACAGUAUUUUAUGAAGUUUUAUUACAGAUCAGAUUUCCUUUUAGGAGGGUAGACCAUUUUUUUCUCCUGAUGAAAGAUUACACACAUAUGCUUACUUUGUGUUCUAUGAUGGUACAACAUAUACAACACCUGAGCAAGAUCCGUUCUACUUUUUUUGUAGAGCAAACACAACCCCUGUCUCUUCUCUUUUGUGUUUGUACAUGUCUUCUGCUUUUCAUAGUCUUUGCUUACCAACCCAGCAAAGAUUUCUGAACUUAAUUUUCAUCUGACGCGAGAACAACUGUUGAACUGUUUUGUGUGCUUUUUCCAGAGACCAGGAGAAGCAUAUGUUCUUGGUACAAAAAAAGAAGGAUAAUUGUUGACACGGGAUCUUUGCUAACCACAGCAAUUGCCUAAGGAUCUACCACCGGGGGGAAGGAUAUUCAAGGUAAUCUUGACACAUAGGACAUACAAGGAAGAGGACAGAACGAACUCACCCUGUUAAGAGUGCCCAAUGCCCGCCAUGAUAUUUUCUCCUCCACCCUUUUCUUCUUCCUCCGGUCAGCUUUCCCAAUUUUGACUCUGUUCUUCUCAAUCUUGUUCUUGCUUGGGUUCUUACACUUUUUUGCUGAGCCAUCCAAGCUGUUUUUUUUCUACAAGGCCCAGAUCUGGUUACAAGUAUUAAUGUACUUUAUUUGUGGUUGAAAGUGAUAAUUGCACACAAAUAAAUAGAACGAUUCAAAUUGUAAAGAAUAGUAAAAAGGUUUGAUCGAGAUUGUGAUUAUGAGGAAGAAAGGAUCGAAAUCCAUAACUUAACAACCCUACCCUAUGGUAGGACCCUAGUCACUGUCUUGGCCCAUGCCUCCACAACCUCCCGACAUUGCUGACCUGAGGCGCUUGGCAAACCAAUGGUGCAUGGUUGGCAUCGUGUGGUGAAAAGCAUAUGUACAUCAGAAGCACACAUAACAAAAAUAAGAAAUAAUUUAAUAUCUCACGACAUAAAAUUAUACUCCCUCCAUCCCAAAAUAAGCCACUCAAUUUUGUACUAACUU